UACGAAGGGGGCUAGCGUUGCUCGGAAUUACUGGGCGUAAAGGGCGCGUAGGCGGACAGUUUAGUCAGAGGUGAAAGCCCAGGGCUCAACCUUGGAAUUGCCUUUGAUACUGGCUGUCUUGAGUACGGGAGAGGUGAGUGGAACUCCGAGUGUAGAGGUGAAAUUCGUAGAUAUUCGGAAGAACACCAGUGGCGAAGGCGGCUCACUGGACCGGCAUUGACGCUGAGGUGCGAAAGCGUGGGGAGCAAACAGG
rnacentral:rRNA from 1 species